rnacentral:rRNA from 1 species
GGCGGCAGCACUAGCGGUGGUCCCACCUGACCCCAUGCCGAACUCAGAAGUGAAACGCCGUAGCGCCGAUGAUGGUAGUGUGGGGCCCCUGCGAGAGUAGGAAACCGCCGCCG